rnacentral:misc_RNA from 1 species
GUAUCUGCUUGUUCCUUAACUAUUUCACCUCAUAUGCCAAGAUUUUUGUGGGCUCUUCAUCAUAUGUUAGGCCUGGAUUCACCUCAAUCUUCUCUACUGGCAAAAUGUGAGAGGGGUCUAAUCUGUACCUCCUCAACAUGGAGACAUGAAAGACAUUAUGAAUCUUUUCCAACUCUGGAGGCAAUGCAAGUCUGUAUGCUAGCGGACCCACUCUUUUUAGAACCUUAUAUGGCCCAAUGAAGCGAGGACU